CCUUUUUCUUAAACCAAAGUAGUAAAAAAGAAACUUAAUAAUUUGACGGUACCUAAUAUCAUAAAGGAGCUUGUAAUUUAAUCGUCAGUACACGCUUUAUCUUACUUAAUAAAACUUGUAUACCUCCGUUAAAGAUAUUAUUGAAAAUUAAAACAAAUUUCAAAAAAAUAAAAAAAAUUCAUAAAUCAGGUCAAGGUGCAGUUUUUUAAGAUACUAUGAGCUACAUUCAAAAAUUAUAGAUGAAUUAAUUAUCUGAAAAAAAUUAUGAAAAUGAAUUUAUAAAUAAAGUAAAAUUAAUAUAUUUACUUGAAAAUCAUUAGAUAUGU
rnacentral:rRNA from 1 species